rnacentral:lncRNA from 1 species
AGUUCCAGGGACUCAUCAGCACAGACCAAUCCUGGGACAAACUGCUGAGGAGGCAGGGCGAAGUGGAGGCUGGGCCAGAACCGCAGUCCUGCCCUGGAAGAGCCAGGAGCAUGCCUCAGAGCUCCACCGUGAGCUCCAUCCACAGAAGAAAAGGGCUAACACCACACAGAAGCAUUGGAUGCCAACAUAAACUGCAGAUUCCACACUCCCACCUGCUGUGGCUCUGCUAUGGCCUGGGUGUGUCCAUCCCUCAAAGACCAAGGUGCCAAGCCUGCUGCUAUGAGGAGCUCUCUAGCUAAAGGGUGCACACCAGUGACCAAUUCACACUGAAGACAAUAAGGAUAGGAAGACCAUUUCCUCCAUGGAUGGAACAGUAGCCAUCACUGCCAGAACCUAGCCCUUACCUCUGACCAGACUCUGGGCCAAACCCAACUUUAACCACACAGGUUAAUUUAAUCCUCACUUUUAAGAAGAAGCAGGGAGCUGAAGGGGCCAUUCCAUGGUAGCUGGAAAGUAUUCCAGGUUAGAUAAGGUCCUAGUUCUAGCUGCUGGGCUGCUGGGAGCAGCGUACCCCAAACUUACCCCAGUGUUGCUGCGCCCGGCUCACCAGGAACGGUCUCAUCUGGAUGAGGCGGGUGGCAUAAAUAUGGGCGUACUGCCGGUUAAAGCUGCGCUCUCCCAGUCGGAAGGGCUGUGAGGAGUUGGUGUAAGUUGCCACAGGUACCCGGGCAAAGGUGGCAUUGCUGGCAGAGGGCGGGGCGAGCAGAGUGUGGGCCCUCUGUGCUGCCUGCUCGGAGAACAUGGCGGCACUCCUGGCUUGUUUGGUCCAAGCAGCUGUGUCCAGGCCGAGGAGUUAUCACUGCAGAGACACACAAAGGCAUUCCUGCAAUCCCUUCUUGUACCCAAAGCUCCCCUAGUGUCCCAACCACGCUGUCCACAAUGUGCACACAUGUGUCCGGAGGUGUCAUCCUAUAACCUAGUCAGAUACAACCUGGAGCUCGUUCCAAACCUUGUUCAUCACCUCCUCCUCUCCACAUUUCUACCCAAUCACCAGGGUCUCAAAUUCUGCAUACCCUCAAAUGGAAUUAUUGAUCUGCUUCUGCCCAGCUCCCUGGGACCUCUGCUACCUCUAGGGAUGCUAUCAGGCAUCACUGAAGAAGCCUGUCAUAAUAUAAUUAGUGAUAAAAAAUAAAGCAUAAAGCUGCCCCUGUUUUGCUCAAAACCCCCCAAAGGUUGCUUUUCAGUAAAUAAAACCCCAAGUUCUUA